rnacentral:rRNA from 1 species
UGGGGAAUAUUGCACAAUGGGGGAAACCCUGAUGCAGCGACGCCGCGUGAGCGAAGAAGGUUUUCGAAUCGUAAAGCUCUGUCCUAUGGGAAGAUAAUGACGGUACCAUAGGAGGAAGCCGCGGCUAACUACGAGCCAGCAGCCGCGGUAAUACGUAGGGGGCAAGCGUUGUCCGGAAACACUGGGCGUAAAGGGUUCGCAGGCGGAAAUGCAAGUCAGUUGUGAAAGGCAGCGGCUCCACCUCUAUUAGCAAUUGAUACUGUAUUUCUUAGAUUGUGGAGGGGCAAGUGGAAUUCCUAGUGUAGCGGUGAAAUGCUUAGAUAUUAGGAAAAAUACCGUUGGCGAAGGCGACUUGCUGGACACAAACUGACGCUAAGUAACGAAAACGUAGGUAGCAAACAGG